CCCGGCUCAAGGAAAACGCUCCGUCGUACUGUCCACCAAUCGCCCACGUCCAGGGCUCAGGUGGCCAUCCCUGAUUUGCGGAAUCAGCACCGGGCCAAGCCGUGGUUUAGACACCCGGUUCACAAUGAUCAAUGGAGCUAUGGAAACAGCAGACAUCGCGCCGGAGCCUGCUGGCCUCCCAUCUGGAGCCUCACAGACACUGAAGGCUAUGAAAGCUGUAAUACUGUGGAGAUGAAAAGGACAUAUGGCAAUCACCUCAUUUGUCUCCUUCCUCCAAAGACCACAACUAUAGCACCAUAUAGCACAUGUUGCAGGCAAGUCCCUGUCACUCCUGGAUGCUCACUCGCUGAUGCUGGCAAGGGUCUCCCCACGGUGCUGGAAAGAUAGCUAGAGCCCCGCCCCCCCUCCAGUGGAGCGGCAGGUGCAGAGGAAACUUGGAUGUGCUGAAAGAGAGUUUCCAGAGGCCACGGUGCUGCAAAUGGAAAUGUCAACGUGGGAUAAUUACAUUGGCCCUGAUGCCCUGUUUUCUGACUACCGUUCGUCCACAAUCGAUUACUGAAAAAGACAAAGGCUGUGAAUAAUCAUCCAAGCAGAUGAAGUGUCAGGUGACCAGGCCAGAAGAGAAAACAGGGCUCCCCUGAAAGGUGAGGGAAGAAAGGCCUCUGGCCCAGGAAAUCUGUCUGCCGUGGGGACAAAUCAAGCGACAGAGAAAGGUGUAGGGCUCAGACCUGGCCUCGGCAGGCAAGGUAUGUACCGAUGCACCAGUUACUCACUGGGCUGGUCCUCUUAACAUCUUCUGAGAGCCAUGGGAAGCUCUCUCUAGGAAAUGGGGAAGGAAGUCGUAAGAAAGGCCCCUGAGGAUAUCACAUGAAGGAGGAAGCAUGGACAUUAGAAUGAGGGUAAAAGAUCACAAGUCCUGGAAACUAGUUAUUCAGAGACAGUCCUUGUAACACACCCACACACCCACACCCACACCCACACACACACCCACACACACACAGGGUUGACAGAGUCUGUGGCCCACAGUUUUCUUUGGCUGGCUUCUUCUCUGCCUUUAAGUCUGGCGGAGGAGAUGGGGCUAGGCAUUUAUCGCUGGAUGUUUUAGUCAGUUUCACUUCCUGUUUCUCAUGCUGAAAGCAUAAUAAUCAUCAUAAUGAUAAUAAUAAUUCUAAGGACUUGCCUCUGCCUCCUAUUUAUCUAGGGCCUGUCAGAAGUGUGCACAUAGGUGGGAGAGGGAGACUACAGCUUAUCUACUCCAUCAAUCAACAGCCGGGAGUGGAGGCAGGCAUGGAGGUGAGGGUGGGGGUUAGUAAUUAGCAGCGGAAAUUAUUAAACUCAUUUUUUUUUUCAAGAGGAGGGAUCUAAAUGGGUUGUUAGCUUCCCAAAUGGUUAUUCUUACCAUAGAGACAUUUAUAAAUCUCUUCUUCCAAGGUCCUCCGGAAAUAAAUCCUCCCCAAAACUUUCCAUUCUCCAAUCUGCCCCAGCUAAGGAAAUCCUUGUGAAUUGAGGCCCAGAGAGUUUAGGCUGACCUCCUAGAGUCACACAGCAAGCAGACCGGCAGGAAAGAUAGGACCAGGCCAGGAUUCUUCUGCAUCCAUUAAGAGCUAUAACCAAGAAGGGAAUUUCCAAGUCUACAGGGAACUUGCAAAGUUUUUAGGAAAAACCACAACUAUUUUAGCUAAGGAAAAAAUGUGCAGUCCCUGCCGACUUGAAACCCUAGGACAAUAAGAGAGAGUUCCCUCUUACCAAGAACAUGUUGGGAACAUCUAAGAUUAGGGGGGGUAGGAGGAACAGCUUUCAGACUUUGGUUGGGAAAAGCGUUCAUGGAAUAGAGGUGUUGGGCCAGGGUUUUAAUUUUUUACCACCAGUCAAGAGCUGUACUCUAAAGGACAAAGGUUGUACACUUUAUAGGCUCUCGGGACUCAGAUGGAAGUGGAGGGAAGUGCGGGAAGGAGCCAUUAUCUUGAUGACAGCAGGGACAUAAUCUUCCCUUAGAUCCAGGGAGGAGGGAAGCAGGGAGCUCAAGAUUUGUUUUUAGGGGCACUUGGGUGGCUCAGUCAGUUA